UAAUUGGCGUUGACGGGAUUAGCUGUAUCUCGUUCUUUCAGAGAGAAGUCGGUCGGUGCAAGACUUUAUGAAUGUUUACAGCACGCUGCCCCUGAGCUCUGUGUGACUAAGCACAGCGUAUAUCUGCGUUAAGGAUUGUAAUCGUAAGAUUACUCAAAGAGGGUGUUUAAGCACCAAUUUGGGUGGUACCGCAGGAAUUAUUCUCCUGUCCCAUUU
rnacentral:ncRNA from 1 species